AGGAUGAACGCUGGCGGCGUGCCUAAUACAUGCAAGUCGAGCGCCCCUUUAAGAGGUGACAAUCAAUGAUUGUCGGUUCCUAUGGGGAGCGGCGGACGGCUGAGUAACGCGUGGGAACGUGCCCCAAAGUGAGGGAUAAGCACCGGAAACGGUGUCUAAUACCGCAUAUGAUCUUCGGAUUAAAGCUUUAUGCGCUUUGGGAGCGGCCUGCGUCCUAUUAGAUAGUUGGUGAGGUAAAGGCUCACCAAGUCAACGAUGGGUAGCUGGUCUGAGAGGAUGACCAGCCAGACUGGAACUGAGACACGGUCCAGACUCCUACGGGAGGCAGCAGUAAGGAAUCUCCACAAUGGCAAAGCCUGAUGGAGCAACGCCGCGUGCAGGAUGAAGGCCCUCGGUCGUAAACUGCUUUUAUGAGUGAAGAAUAUGACGUAACUCAUGAAUAAGGUCGACUAACUACGUGCCAGCAGCCGCGGUAAUCGUGA
rnacentral:rRNA from 1 species